AGCUUGAUUGGUGCAAAAACAGCAACAUUUCGACCCUACAGGGUCUUUAUCAAGCUAUGCUAGGGUCGAAACGUUGUUGUUUUUGCACCAAUAAAGCU